GACGAACGCUGGCGGCGUGCUUAACACAUGCAAGUCGAACGAUGAACUUGGAGCUUGCUCUGGGGGAUUAGUGGCGAACGGGUGAGUAACACGUGAGUAACCUGCCCUGGACUCUGGGAUAACUUCGAGAAAUCGGAGCUAAUACCGGAUAGGACCUUGCACCGCAUGGUGUGGGGUGGAAAGUUUUUCGGUUUGGGAUGGACUCGCGGCCUAUCAGCUUGUUGGUGAGUUAAUGGCUGACCAAGGCGUCGACGGGUAGCCGGCCUGAGAGGGUGACCGGCCACACUGGGACUGAGACACGGCCCAGACUCCUACGGGAGGCAGCAGUGGGGAAUAUUGCACAAUGGGCGCAAGCCUGAUGCAGCAACGCCGCGUGCGGGAUGACGGCCUUCGGGUUGUAAACCGCUUUUAGUAGGGAAGAAGCCUUCGGGUGACGGUACCUGCAGAAAAAGGACCGGCUAACUACGUGCCAGCAGCCGCCGUAAUAC
rnacentral:rRNA from 1 species